rnacentral:rRNA from 1 species
CCGCGUGAAGGAAGACGGUCUUCGGAUUGUAACUUUUGUACACAGGGACGAUAAUGACGGUACCUGUGCAGCAAGCUCCGGCUAACUACGUGCCAGCAGCCGCGGUAAUACGUAGGGAGCGAGCGUUGUCCGGAAUUACUGGGUGUAAAGGGUGCGUAGGCGGCUCUGGUAAGUUAGUGGUGAAAACUAUGGGCUUAACCCAUAGCCUGCCAUUAAAACUGCUGGGCUUGAGUGAAGUAGAGGUAGGCGGAAUUCCCGGUGUAGCGGUGAAAUGCGUAGAGAUCGGGAGGAACACCAGUGGCGAAGGCGGCCUACUGGGCUUUAACUGACGCUGAGGCACGAAAGUAUGGGUAGCAAACAGGAUUAGAUACCCUGGUAGUCCAUACCGUAAACGAUGAUUACUAGGUGUGGGGGGUCUAACCCCCUCCGUGCCGGAGUAAACACAAUAAGUAAUCCACCUGGGGAGUACGACCGCAAGGUUGAAACUCAAAGGAAUUGACGGGGGCCCGCACAAGCAGUGGAGUAUGUGGUUUAAUUCGAAGCAACGCGAAGAACCUUACCAGGUCUUGACAUCCAACUAACGAAGCAGAGAUGCAUAAGGUGCCCUUCGGGGAAAGUUGAGACAGGUGGUGCAUGGUUGUCGUCAGCUCGUGUCGUGAGAUGUUGGGU